rnacentral:rRNA from 1 species
UACAGAGGGUGCGAGCGUUAAUCGGAAUUACUGGGCGUAAAGCGCACGUAGGCGGCUUUCUAAGUCGGGGGUGAAAUCCUGGAGCUCAACUCCAGAACUGCCUUUGAUACUGGUGAGCUUGAGUCCGGAAGAGGUGAGUGGAACUGCGAGUGUAGAGGUGAAAUUCGUAGAUAUUCGCAAGAACACCAGUGGCGAAGGCGGCUCACUGGUCCGGUACUGACGCUGAGGUGCGAAAGCGUGGGGAGCAAACAGG